UGGCGACCGGCGCACGGGUGAGUAACGCGUAUCCAACCUGCCCUUUACUAUGGGACAGCCCGUCGAAAGGCGGAUUAAUACCGUAUGUUGUCAUGUUGAUGCAUAUUUUCAUGACCAAAGGCUUCGGCCGGUAAAGGAUGGGGAUGCGUCUGAUUAGCUUGCCGGCGGGGUAACGGCCCACCGGGGCGACAUCAGUAGGGGUUCUGAGAGGAAGGUCCCCCACAUUGGAACUGAGACACGGUCCAAACUCCUACGGAAGGCAGCAG
rnacentral:rRNA from 1 species